GCGACUCCUCAUCGAGAAAAGCCAAGCGGCGGGUUCACCGGAUAUUGCGGCGGUGAUUUCCGACGGAAUGGGAGAAUUAUGGCUCGUCCUUGAUGCUAAGCAUGUGCAGUCGAGUGAGCUCCGAGGUUUAGGGCCCAAGAGAGAAAGAAAGGGGCGGUGCCCUCCGCCGGCCUUGUCGGAGCUUGAAUCAGCGACAACGACGAUCAAAUUUUGAGCGAGAGAGAUGAAUUAAUUAAAAAGUUAAAAGGUGCAGAUUAGCCC
rnacentral:lncRNA from 1 species